CUGCUGUCCACUAGGAGGCUGACACUAGGCAAAAAAAAGAAGUAUGCUCCUCCCAGCAGGAUAUACCCACCCACAGGCACAGAGCUAAGCAGUUGUGUCACAAAGCAGUAGGAGAAGCCAAACAACAAAGGAGAUAAGUCCGAAGGACACCAGAAAAUAACAACAGGCAAUAAACAAUGUGACAAGGAACUGUAAAUGGGUGGGUGCUGUGUUCCCCAAUGAAGGCUACAAGAAAGAGAUUUUUCUGGUGAGUACAAAAAAAAUCUCCUUUUCUUGGUUGCCUCAACACAGGAGAACACAGGAGACCAUGGGACGUCCCAAAGCAGUCCCUUGGGUGAGAAAAACAACCACCAGAGAAGGAGGGGUCAGACCAGACACUGAGCCCUAUCCCUUCCAGAAAAAAGUUGGUGAGGCCCAUAUAAAACCGUAAUUCAACCCCCUAGAAGCCCUUACAAAACAUGAAGGGUAGCUAGGACAUAAAAAAAGAGACUGGGGUCCAAGAGCUGACCAAAAACAGCUAGAAACUGAUGUCCCGGAGGCCUGCCGGACCACACCCGUCCCUGAUGGAGGGAGGAAAACACCCCUGAAGACAAGACAGAAGAUGCAGGAAAAAAUUGGAAAGCGAACAUGCUGGAGAUACUCAAGGGAAAGUCCUAUCAGAAAACCAGUCGCAACUGAAGGACAGAGGCUGAGGAGGAAGAACGACAAGCAAAAGGCAGCUGAGCACAGCCAGCAAGAAGACAAGACUCAGAAGGUGGAAACCAGAGUUGCCAGAAGGGGACAAAGACAGAAAAACCCAUGUUCGGGUCUGAGCGCAUAAGGAAAAUAGAUGAGAAGAAGGCUAGGUCAAGGAGCACCCGUUGAUCACCCGAACAGAGAGGUCAGACGAACACCCACAGCCUCAAGGCCACUUGCAAAAAAACAGAUGAAAGAAAGAAUCCAAAAAGGGCAAGCGAGCAGGUGAACUACAUCCGCCAAAGUGCCCAAAAUGACCACACUGGGCAACCCGGAGAACUGGCCAGUCCACUACCCAGAGGCCCUAUGCCUCGGGCCCCUUUCACUCCAGAGGGAGACGGAGAAAUGCAAGCAGGUCGGCAGGGAGGAACAGAACCAUCCGGAACACUGGAGCAGCCAUUAAGAGAAACAGAGGAUCUCAGAUCCAGUAAGAAAUAGAGGGACCCAGGAGUCCCAAACCAGGUGGACAACCUCAAGCCAGAACAAAACACUCCGGUUGACAAACACCUAGACUUGGGCAAGGCGUGGCACAUCGAACAGAGACCGCCUUCCAUAGAGAAGGGUGGUGAUGAGAUGGGCCGGAACCCUGCCAAGGCCAGAGACAAGAGCCACUGGAGUGACGGAAGCUUCAGUAAAACCCCAACUUAACCUCCAGCAAAACUGCACAACACAGCAAAAAUGGCCAACGUGAGCAAGGGAAAGCGGCAAAAAAGCUGAACAAGGGUACUCCGGAAAUGGAGCUAGAAGUACCUAGUGCUGACUUUAAGUCAUGUGCACACAAUGGGACAAUGCCCAAUGGCAUGUGGCACAAUACUCGGAGCAAACACCAAGCAUUCCAACAAUCAGUCACGCACAUAAGGUGACGGAAGCAGGCUUAGGAAUAGGCCCCCGUCCCCCCCAAAUCCAUCUAAUAUAAGUUCCCCGGAUAUGGGAAGCAUCAGAUGAGAAACUAAGAACAGAUACUACACUUGACCCUACUCAAGAAGCUUGAGAAGCGAGCUUAGGAGAGAACUCUGCCCUACAGAUAGGGGCACGGAGAACGCCACAGAAUACAGAAAGGCUGUAUUACCUAAUUUUGGCCACCAGAGGGGGCCAAGCACAAGAAUGGAAACAAAAGAGCUGUGUAUGAAACAGCCACCAGAGGGUGCAGAGAGCCCGGGAAAAUUGAAGUGAUUUUUUUUUUUUUUUUUUUUACUUGCAGAGCAGCUCGCUGGUGCUGACCCUGGGGCGACAAAGGGAAUAAAAUGUGGCCAGGUCACUGGGCCUGGCCGCAACAUGUGCAGCAAGGGGGAACAUUUUGUGGGAGCCCAUUAAUCCUGUAACCGGUGGAGGGGAUGCGGUGGUUCAGCCCAAAAAAUGCUAACUAGACAUCCCUAGCUAGAAAAUAAUUAAACAUAAAAGACCAGGUCUGGAGAGAGCUCCAGACCUGUGUCUUCCUCUACUGACACGAAGCUAAAACUGAUUAGCUCUGUACCUGUGGGUGGGUAUAUCCUGCUGGGAGGAGCCAACUUUUUUUGCCUAGUGUCAGCCUCCUUGUGGACAGCAGCGUAAUACCCAUGGUCUCCUGUGUUCCUGGCGACUGAGCCACUCUGCACUGGAACCCAGGAAAGAUACCUGGAGGCAUAGGCGGGCUGUGGAACAGACUGUGUCACCCUAUCAGGCCCUAUGCCAGAACAGAUGUGCUCAACCGCAGCAGACCUGUGGAAACAAGAUCACAGAAAGGCCCGAGGUACACCCCACCGAAACGGAGGAGAGGUGAGCUCUAUACGUGCAGAGUGUCCAUAGCAUAUGUGGGGACACAGACAUGGUUACCGCACGAUGGUAGUGGGGUACCAAGACAGCAGCCAAGAAAGUGGUGUACUGGAAUUCGGCCGAUCUGAUGGGCGACCUGGUGGUGUAGAAGACUAUGCAGACAAAUGUCUGGUUGACAGGCAUGAGUCCCUAGUACCUGCAGGGACCCUGUCCCACACCAGCAGGGAAACUCCACCCCUGCACGCGGCAGUCCUGUGAUAGGAGACCAACAGGAGCAGAAACCGUGCAGACCACAGUCUGGCUUAAUGAGGACACCUCCAGGCGCUGUCCGGUGGCGAUAAGGGGACAACAGCACCAAUAGGAGAGCACUGUGCCCCUUUGUUGCAUGCGGGAGGGUGGGGAGGCCUAGGAGCCAUGGAUAGUAUCCCCUCCGUCCCAAAGUUCGGGGAAGGUGGAGGAGCUAUGGAUUGUAUCCCCGUAGGCCUAAGUAGGGUCCAUAGGACACGCCGGGUCACUUCUUCGGACAUCUCACACUAUUAGUGGGAUACCGGAAUUCCAGCUGCACAUACAUCAUCGUGUGAGGAGUGACAGGCGGCGGAGUAGCCACGCAGACCACUGUCUGGCUUACUGGCAUAGGGUCCAUAGUAAACACCGAGUCAUUCCUUCAGACACCUCGCACUAGCAGUGGGGUACCGAAAUUCCAGCCGCAGAUACAGCAGCACUGAGAUGAAUGACAGGUGGUAGCGGAAACCAUGCUGACCAUUGUAACCCCUCAAUGUAUCAAGUCUAAUCCAUGUCCCCGCAGGGUCACUUCCAUGGAAUACUCACACUAGAGGUGGGGAUCUGGAACUCCAGGUGCAGAUGCAGCAGACGUGAGUGCAAAAGAAAACCAUGCAGACGACAGUCUGGCUUACUGGUAUAGGGACCAUUGCACAUGCAGGGUAAUUCCUCCGGAAACCCCCUAGUUGUGAGGAACGGGAGAAAAAAAGGGAAAAAAAGAAAAAAUAGGCACGGCUACAUAAGAUGGGUGACUGGUGGUGGAGGAAACCACUGCAGAUGGGUUUCCUAAUGCCCUCCCAAAGAUGAAAGGCCAUGUGUUGGACUUUGGCACAGGGGCAGGGAAGUAAACCCAGGCAUGGAGGGGGACACCUUGUAGGGGCCCCUUAGUUUUCACUAGAAUUGCAAUGGCACCAAUUGAGACACCCCUAGGGAGGGAUUGGAAUCAUCCAUGGGUUAGGCAAACAUGAUAUGGCAACAGUCAGCAGGGGAAACAGACAUAACGUGUAUCCCCAGGGUUAUUUAAGGGAAUAUGCAUCGUCGGUAAUGACCCGCCAAGUCCCGUCUGAAGGGCUGAUAUGGAGUGACUGCAGGAAUGCAGGCCAGAAAGUUGCCACCAGAGGGAGCUCAUUGGUAAGCAUAAAACCAAGAGCUGAGAUUCAGUAAAGGGCCACAAGGGGGCAUCUGGAACAACUGAUUUAAUUUAUAUACUGUAUAUAUAUUUUUUAUGAGAGGGACAAACAGUGACAAUGACAGCGUCAGCUGGAGGAACCCCUGACCCCUCACUGCAGGAGAGGAGAAGGGGGGGGGAGCAAUGCCGACUUCCCCAUGCCAUAAUGAAGGCCGGCCGGGGAGGGAAGAGACCUAUAACCCCCAGUUACUGUGCUGUAGAGGCGGGGGCGGAAUACGGAGUUACGCUCCGAGUCCCCAGCACACAUGGCCGCCGACAUCUCUAAAACCGACGGCUUCCCCCAUGACUGACACCCCCACUGUAACUCCCGCCCACUAGACAGAUGCUGCAGCGAUGGGUUUUUGCUGGAAGAAGUCAUGGUGGUGUGAGCCAGAAGGAAAGAGGACGACGCUGAAUUACACACUCAGUGAAUACAGGCCUGCUGUAAGCUGAAAGAGACAGAAGAAAAUGAAAAUCCCCCGGUGUUGGACUCGUAGUGACUGGCAGCACAAGCAGCGAGACCUAUAUAUUAGAUAUAACACCCGUUUGUCUAAGAUGGUGCACAUAGCAUAUGCAUCAAGAAGGAGUUGUUAAAGGAAAUCAAACAUUAUAUGUGUGAAUGCAAUUAUGAUAUAAGUGAUUACAAUAUCUCUAGCCUGAAUAUAAGAUGAUAUACAGUUUUGCAUGGAGGCAUACAGGUGCCCAAUGGCAUCCUGAAGAACAUUUGCUACUAGAUGUUGCAGCUGGGCCUGUCGGUGGCUGCAGCUGGCUCACCAUAUCUGCUUGAUUGCCCAUAAAUCUGGCAACCAGGCAGGCCAAGAAAGUGUUCCAUUCUAGCAAAGACAUUCCUGGAAAACCAUUGCUGUGUGUGGGCGAGCAUUAUCCCGCUUAAAAAUGUCAGCUGGAACCCCUGCCAUGAGAGGCUGCACAUAUUGCUGAGCUGUUAGUGUGCCUUGUGUCUCUAGUAGGAGUGAACGACUGUCAUAUGCAAUGUUUCCCCUGAUCGACACACCAGUAUUUGGGCCACAGUGUCACUCCACAACACCAGGCCUCCAUAUUCAAACCUGUCUUUAAAUUCUUUCAGUUUAGGGAGUAAGAGCUGUGAACCUGGGUCAACAAUGUCAUCUGGGACUGUUGCUUGUUGCACAUUCUACUACUCUGCCACAUGUUUUAGGAAAAUAUGGACUUAUGGUGGACAUGGACCUAGGGGUAGGUGUUGUUUUGAGGAAGGGAGGGGUGGGGGGUAUUUUUGUGUUUCCUUUAUCUUGUAUAAAACUGUUUACAACUUAAUAAAAAGAUCUGAUUUAAAAAACAGAAUGGCAUCUGAGAAGGUAUAUUUAGUGACUGGGACAUGGUUUAAUGGGAAUAAUGACUGGGACAUAACAUUACCAGCAUACUCUUUAUAUAGGAAAGACAGAGGAGGCAGGGGGAAGGGCUGACCCUGUAUGUAUAAGAUAGCUUGAAAUCC